rnacentral:rRNA from 1 species
AGUGAACGCUGGCGGUAGGCCUAACACAUGCAGGUCGAACGGCAGCACAGUAAGAGCUUGCUCUUACGGGUGGCGAGUGGCGGACGGGUGAGGAAUACAUCGGAAUCUACUUUUUCGUGGGGGAUAACGUAGGGAAACUUACGCUAAUACCGCAUACGACCUACGGGUGAAAGCAGGGGAUCUUCGGACCUUGCGCGAUUGAAUGAGCCGAUGUCGGAUUAGCUAGUUGGCGGGGUAAAGGCCCACCAAGGCGACGAUCCGUAGCUGGUCUGAGAGGAUGAUCAGCCACAUUGGAACUGAGACACGGUCCAGACUCCUACGGGAGGCAGCAGUGGGGAAUAUUGGACAAUGGGCGCAAGCCUGAUCCAGCCAUACCGCGUGGGUGAAGAAGGCCUUCGGGUUGUAAAGCCCUUUUGUUGGGAAAGAAAAGCAGCAGGUUAAUACCCCGCUGUUCUGACGGUACCCAAAGAAUAAGCACCGGCUAACCUCGUG